rnacentral:rRNA from 1 species
AUUGAACGCUGGCGGCAGGCCUAACACAUGCAAGUCGAACGGUAACAGGAAACAGCUUGCUGUUUCGCUGACGAGUGGCGGACGGGUGAGUAAUGUCUGGGAAACUGCCUGAUGGAGGGGGAUAACUACUGGAAACGGUAGCUAAUACCGCAUAACGUCGCAAGACCAAAGAGGGGGACCCUCGGGCCUCUUGCCAUCGGAUGUGCCCAGAUGGGAUUAGCUUGUUGGUGGGGUAACGGCUCACCAAGGCGACGAUCCCUAGCUGGUCUGAGAGGAUGACCAGCCACACUGGAACUGAGACACGGUCCAGACUCCUUCGGGAGGCAGCAGUGGGGAAUAUUGCACAAUGGGCGCAAGCCUGAUGCAGCCAUGCCGCGUGUAUGAAGAAGGCCUUCGGGUUGUAAAGUACUUUCAGCGGGGAGGAAGGGAGUAAAGUUAAUACCUUUGCUCAUUGACGUUACCCGCAGAAGAAGCACCGGCUAACUCCGUG